rnacentral:rRNA from 1 species
UACAGAGGGGGCAAGCGUUGUUCGGAAUUACUGGGCGUAAAGGGCGCGUAGGCGGCCGCCUAAGUCAGACGUGAAAUCCCUCGGCUCAACCGGGGAACUGCGUCUGAUACUGGGUGGCUUGAAUUCGGGAGAGGGAUGCGGAAUUCCAGGUGUAGCGGUGAAAUGCGUAGAUAUCUGGAGGAACACCGGUGGCGAAGGCGGCAUCCUGGACCGAGAUUGACGCUGAUGCGCGAAAGCCAGGGGAGCAAACGGG